GCAUUACAUGGAUGCCUCGACUCUAUACUCCGAUGAAGGACGUGGCCAGCUGCGAUAUGCCUCGGUAAGCCGCUAGGCAGGCGUUAUUAGCCGAGGAUUUCCGAAUGAGGAAACUCCUCCGCCGUCAUGGGCGGAGACCGGAGAGCUUGCUCUCCGGAGGUCACUCUGUGAACUGAAACAUCUCAGUAACAGAGGAAAAGAAAUUAACAAAGAUUCCCUAAGUAGUGGCGAGCGAAAGGGGAACAGGCCAAACCCCAUUGUUUUAUUGAUGGGGGGUUGUAGGGCCCCGAUAUCCGAUUGAUUCUGUAUAAAUGAAUGAGCCUGGAACGGACAGCCAAAGAGGGUGAGAGCCCCGUAAUUGAAAUACAGGAGCACGGUAGGGAGUCCCUGAGUAGGGUCGGACACGUGAAAUCCGGCCUGAAUCUGGGUGGACCACCAUCCAAGCCUAAAUAGGUAUAGAGAUCUAUAGCGAAUAGUACCGCGAGGGAACGGUGAAAAGCACCCCGGAAGGGGGAUGAAAUAGACCCUGAAAUGUAAUGCGUUCAAGGAGCUGGAGCCCUUUAUGGGUGACAGCGUGCCUUUUGCAUAAUGAGCCAAGGAGUUAGUUGUUAGUGGCUGGUUAAGGCAGAGUUAGCCGGAGCCAGAGCGAAAGCGAGUCCGAAUAGGGCGCAUAUAGUCGCUAGCACUAGACCCGAAACCGGGUGAGCUACCCAUGGGCAGGGUGAAGGGCGCCCAACGGCGUCUGGAGGCCCGAACCCACGCAUGUCACAAGAUGCGGGGAUGACCUGUGGGUAGGGGUGAAAAGCCUAUCGAACCCGGAGAUAGCUGGUUCUCUUCGAAAUGCCUUUAGGGGCAGCCUCGUUUUGCAAGAUGGGGGGUAGAGCUACUGUUUGGAUGCGGGGGUCUCCUCGACCUACCAAAUCCUGGCAAACUCCGAAUACCCAUCCUUAGAAAACGGGAGUGAGACGGUGACGGCAAAUCGCCAUCGUCGAGAGGGAAACAACCCAGAUCAUCUGCUAAGGUCCCUAAUGAUAGUUAAGUGUGAAAGGAGGUGUAGGUGCAUGGACAACCAGGAGGUUGGCUUAGAAGCAGCCAUCCUUUAAAGAAAGCGUAACAGCUCACUGGUCGAUUGCACUUAUGCGCCGAAAAUUUAACGGGGCAAAACUAUCUACCGAAGCAAUGAGUGUGCUUUUUAGCACGCAGUAGAAGAGCGUUCUGUUCAGCAGUGAAGCAGUACUGCGAGGUAUUGUGGAGCGGACAGAAGUGAGAAUCUUGGCAUGAGUAACUACUAGGCAGGUGAAAACCCUGCCCGCCGAAUCCCCAAGGGUUCCCACGCAACGUUAAUCGGCGUGGGGUUAGUCGGGCCUAAGGUGAGGCCGAAAGGCGUAACCGAUGGACAACAGGUUAAUAUUCCUGUACCUCAUGGAAAUCGAUCAAGGGUGCCGUUUGAUAGUUUGGCAGGCCUCUGCUUCCUCCUUCGGGAGGCUGGCAUGUCCGUCAGAAAGGACGAUGGUAACCUAGGAGCGGUAUGACGGAGCGGGAACACCAGAGCGUAUGUAUUGACUGUACGUGUAACACGUAAGGCGUUAAUUCCGGUNNNNNNNNNNNNNNNNNNNNNNNNNNNNNNNNACACCGGUGGGGUGGUCGAGUAGACCAAGGCGAACGAGUAAUUCCGCGUUAAGGAACUCGGCAAAACAGCGUCCGUAACUUCGGGAUAAGGACUGGCGUUCUCUAUUACGGGGAGCGCCCGCAGCAAAAGAGCUCAGGCGACUGUUUACCAAAAACACAGGUCCCUGCUAAGUCGCAAGACAACGUAUAGGGGCUGAUGCCUGCCCAGUGUCAGAAGGUUACGUGAGGGGGUUUACGCCCUUGAUCUAAGCCCUGAUGAACGGCGGCCGUAACUAUAACGGUCCUAAGGUAGCGAAAUUCCUUGUCGGGUGGUUGGCAAUAACUUGCCCGAAUGACGAGUAAUCGUCACACCAAGGAAUGAGUUGUGUUGAUCAAAACAGUUUAUUAAUUUCUUUGCGCAGCUGAGUUUUAUAUAUUUUAUUGAUCGUAUACCACCAAUAGUGAAAACGUUGCUAUAUGCUGGAAUAUCCGGUGCCGUGAAGUCUUUGUACUUCAUGGCGAGAAUGACGCACUACGCGCAAGCGUGACAAUGUGACGUCUGCGGACAAUCAGCAGGAAACCUUACGUAUGUAAGGGCUCCUCAGAGACUCUACGCAACGCCCCCGCGAAGCCCGAUCUGGGCGAAGUGGGGUGAUGAUAUAGUCCGAUCCCUAUGGCGACAUAGGGUGCAGAGAAGUUCUGCAGUUACACUUCGAGAUGUGCUUUCAGCGCUCCUCAGUGUGACAACACGCGUGGAACGGGAACUCCAACCAAUAUAAUAAGUACAUCGCGAAGGGCGGCUUUGCCGGCCUGGAGCGAUACCUUAAAAGGGAAGGAGAGCCCGUGAGAGGAAACCGUAGGUUUCCUUUCACGAAUAGUGAAGUUCCGACCCGCACGAAUGGUAUAACGGUCUGAGCACUGUCUCAACGCGGAGCUCGGUGAAAUUGCAGUCCCGGUGCAAAUGCCGGGUAGACUACGGAAGGACGAAAAGACCCUAUGAAGCUUUACUAUAAGCUGACAUUGUAUCACUGGUUUCUUUGUGCAGAAUAGGUGGGAGGCUUUGAAGCGGGGGCGUUAGCCCCUGUGGAGCCAACUUUGAGAUACCACCCUUUGGUUCUGUUGAUACUCACCCCGUCUCUGAAACGGAGAGGGGGACAGUGUUUGCCGGGUAGUUUAACUGGGGCGGUUGCCUCCUAAAAUGUAACGGAGGCGUGCAAUGGUCCACUAGCGCCGGAUGGAAAUCGGCGUUGUCGUAUAAUCGCAUAAGUGGGCCUGACUGUGAGGCUUACAGGCCGAGCAGGGACGAAAGUCGGUGAUAGUGAUCCGGCACCUUUGACACUGAUUUAUUAGUGUCAUUCCACGUGGGUGGGGUGUCGCUCAUCGGAUAAAAGUUACUCUAGGGAUAACAGGCUGAUCGCUCCCAAGCGCCCACAGCGACGGAGCGGUUUGGCACCUCAAUCGGGGUGCUACAGAAGUAAUUCUGUACCAAAAAUUCGGCUUAUAACGGUGAAACCGUCACGAGCAAUUGUGGAAAUUUAUUUGCUCGUCGGCAAUACCGUGGGAAGUCCUCCGCCAACAGCGGAGUGACCCCGUAACGACUGACCCGAAAGGGGAGAGCCUUUCAUAGAGAAAGGCUAACACGCCGAUUCCUGCAACACAUUAAGUCAGAUUACGGUUGUAUACGACUAUACGACCUACGAUCGACUGCAGGAUAAAGAUAUAGUCUGCACCAUACGAAAAUAUGGAUAAAAGUACGAUGUCGGCUCAUCGCAUCCUGGGGCUGAAGAAGGUCCCAAGGGUUUGGCUGUUCGCCAAUUAAAGCGGUACGCGAGCUGG
rnacentral:rRNA from 1 species